GGACCCUGUUCUGGGCGCCCUAAAGUGGAUCCGAAUCUUUUGAGACCUUUUGGAUCCUGCCUGUUUGCUGUUCGGGUGAUCCAGAAACACCAAGACUAUUUGACUUGACAGGUUGCGACAACAGGCGGCGCGAAAUCUGGGCGCCCAGAUUUUACGGAAGCAGCGGCGCACGCAAUCUGGGCUGUCUGGCAAGAAAGUCAGCACGAGAUCUGGGCGCCCACAACUUUUGAUGGCUCGAAUCCAGAAAAACGGCGCAUGUCAGAAAAGUUGU
rnacentral:lncRNA from 1 species